rnacentral:misc_RNA from 1 species
CCGCGCCCGUCACACCACCCG